GUCUAUGGUCAUACCACCCUGAAUGUGCCCAAUCUCAUCUGAUCUCGGAAGCUAAGCAUGGUCGGGCCUGGUUAGUACUUGGAUGGGAGAAAUAGACCCAAAGAUA
rnacentral:rRNA from 1 species